rnacentral:rRNA from 1 species
UACGUAGGGGGCGAGCGUUGUCCGGAAUUACUGGGCGUAAAGGGCACGUAGGCGGUUGGUUAAGUUGGCUGUGAAAUCACUCGGCUCAACUGAGUGGAGUCAGUCGAAACUGGCCGACUUGAGGGAGGCAGAGGGAAGCGGAAUUCCCGGAGUAGUGGUGAAAUGCGUAGAUACCGGGAGGAACACCAGUGGCGAAGGCGGCUUUCUGGGCUUUUCCUGACGCUGAGGUGCGAAGGCGUGGGGAGCGAACCGG